rnacentral:hammerhead_ribozyme from 1 species
ACCCAGUUGACGAGUCCUAAAUAGAACAAAACAUGCGUCCUAGAU